UACAGAGGUCCCGAGCGUUGUUCGGAUUCACUGGGCGUAAAGCGUGCGCAGGCGGUGAUGUAAGACAGAUGUGAAAUCCCCGGGCUCAACCUGGGACCUGCAUUUGUGACUGCAUCGCUAGAGUACGGUAGAGGGGGAUGGAAUUCCGCGUGUAGCAGUGAAAUGCGUAGAUAUGCGGAGGAACACCGAUGGCGAAGGCAAUCCCCUGGACCUGUACUGACGCUCAUGCACGAAAGCGUGGGGAGCAAACAGG
rnacentral:rRNA from 1 species